rnacentral:rRNA from 1 species
UGGAGGGCAAGUCUGGUGCCAGCAGCCGCGGUAAUUCCAGCUCCAAUAGCGUAUAUUAAAGUUGUUGCAGUUAAAAAGCUCGUAGUUGAAUUUCGGGGUUAGUAGGUUGGUCAUGCCUCUGGUAUGUACUGGUCUCACUGAUUCCUCCUUCCUGAUGAGCCGUAAUGCCAUUAAUUUGGUGUUGCGGGGAAUUUGGACUGUUACUUUGAAAAAAUUAGAGUGUUUAAAGCAAGCUAACGCUUGAAUACAUUAGCAUGGAAUAAUGAAAUAGGACGUUCGAUCCUAUUUUGUUGGUUUCUAGGAUUGACGUAAUGAUUAAUAGGGAUAGUUGGGGGCAUUAGUAUUCAAUUGUCAGAGGUGAAAUUCUUGGAUUUAUUGAAGACUAACUACUGCGAAAGCAUUUGCCAAGGAUGUUUUCAUUAAUCAAGAACGAAAGUUAGGGGAUCGAAGACGAUCAGAUACCGUCGUAGUCUUAACCAUAAACUAUGCCGACUAGGGAUCGGAUGAUGUUAAUUUUUUAAUGACUCAUUCGGCGCCUUACGGGAACC